UCUGCCUAUAAGUAUCAUCAUGCUGUAUCACCGUGUCCCGUCUAUAAGGAUCUGUUCUCAAAGUCCUACUAUAUGCAUAAGAUUGAACAGGAGCAGGUGGUGGUAAAGGUUGAAGCGGGGCUAAUGGUACCAAUGGAGAUGUAACUAAAUCCCUUUCAUGAAACUGAGGACGUUCAUGGUAUACACGCUCUUCAACCCGCUCACGGUGCCCACGCUCCUCAACCCGCUCACGGUAUCCACGCCGUCUUCUGUAAACAUCAGGAUUACCUAGCACUGUGUCACGUGGCUCUACUACUGCCUGUCUUCUGUAAACAUCAGGAUUGCAUGGCACUGUGUCCCGCCUAUAAGCAUCAGGGAGUUCCACCAAUCGGCUCUGCCUAUAAGUAUCAUCAUGCUGUAUCACUGUGUCCCGUCUAUAAGGAUCUGUUCUCGAAGUCCUACUAUAUGCAUAAGAUUGAACAGGAGCAGGUGGUGGUAAAGGUUGAAGCGCGGCUAAUGGCACCAAUGGAGAUGUAACUAAAUCCCUUUCAUGAAACUGAGGACGUUCAUGGUAUACACGCUCUUCAACCUGCUCACGGUACCCAUGCUCUUCAACCCGCUGACGGUACCCACGCUCUUCAACCCGCUGACG
rnacentral:lncRNA from 1 species